ACGUUUUUUUGAGAACCCGGCCUAGCUCUUGAUCGGUAGAGCGGUUGCCCUCGGCCCGUGAUUCCGCAUCACAAAAAAACAUUAAAUAAUAAUAAAAAGAAAAUAAUUAAUGAAAAAAAAGGUCUUUCAUUUACACUAUAUAAUUUUUUAUUCAUUAAUAGUUUGUGAGGGCCAUUUAUUUAUGAACACUAUUUCAUUUAUUUUCACGCGCAUACCGUUCAGAGUCGAAGAUCACUUGCAAUUCCAACCGCAACCGCUUCUUUAAAACCGAAAAUAACCACACGAGACCAAUUCCCUCCUAUCAAUGAAAGCAACAACUCAACCUCUUUCACGAUCAGUCAAACGAGAAAAAAAACUCACCACCGAAUUUCUUUGCAUGAUUUUUCUCUCCUCUCUUCUCUUUACAUACCUCCCUGAACUUUGCUCGCGGACGUUACAAACUAAAAGACGUGCUUUUUAGCAAAUCCCAUGUUACGAUAUAAAAAGAGUUAGUAUAAAAUCCAGCAUAAGGUGGUACCAGUUAAUAAAGAAUCGUACUUUAUUUCUUUAAUUAUUUAUUUCGGCAUGUUAAAGUCUUCUUAUUGAGUCUCUUUUAGAAGAAAAACCAACUUAAUUGAAAUACAAAUUCUGAGUUAAACGUUGUUGUUCGCUGUUGCUUUUGAUGGCCACUAUGGCAACUCAAUCGGUAGAGCAUGAGACUCGUAAUCUCAGAGCGGUGGGGCACAUCUCAUUGGAGUUAGCAAAGCCUUUUUCCCUUUUUCUCGGGGCAGUUCGUCGGAUACCAGGGUUUUUGUCCUUAAAUUACGAUUCUAUAGAUAAUAUUUUAUCCUCAGUCAAAAACUUAUGUGAUCUACUGAGGAAUUUUUUAUUAAAAUUGUAUUCAGGCACUUGAACCAGAAAGUUAACUUCACGAACAUUUUAAAUCUAUAUUGCCUCAAGAUAAACAAAUGUUUAAAUCUCAGUAAACCUGAUUAACGUUCUGUUUUGAAAGUUAGCUCCUAAUUACGAAUAAUAAUUAUUGCUUGUGAAAUAAUAGAAAAAUCUUUUUAUAGUUUUUCCCAAAUACGGAAACUAAAAUUUAACCGCGUAGUGAGAAAUUUAAAAAAAAACAGGAAUUUAAAAAAAAUGUUGUGAGCAGAGUUUUGCUAAACAUAACGAGGAGUGUUUGUAGCGUGUUUUCUUUCACAGCAACGUCCCUAUAUUUUGAAUUACAGUGAGAAAAUUUAACUUCAUAGGAUAGUAAAAGCAGCGAACAUUUUAAAUUUAUAUUGCCCAAAAUAAAUAAAUAUCUAAAUCUCAGUAAAUUUGAUUAACGUUCUGUUUUGGAAAGUUAGCUCUAAAUUACGAUUAAUAGAGAGUACUAGUGAAGCAUCAAAGAAAAAAAAGGAACACAACGAAUUUGAGAAGUAGUAAUUGAAUGAUGUGAAGGUUACUUUUAUCGACCAACUAAUCGUUAGCGGACGGAGCAAUAAUAACAAGAGCAGCGGGGGUAACAGCAGCUACCACGGGAUUUUUUUCACUCAUCGACGGGCGCCGAACCCCUGCACGUACCAGCGACGAUACCGGGGCCGAACAGCAAAAUGGCACCGGCAUUAUUUCAAGAUUAUAUGCUCUUCUUGCAAGACCUGAUGCGUCAUACCGCCAUAACGGAAGAGCAAAAAUUAGAACGUAUCUACAUGAAUGUGCAGCCCGAUUACCUGUGGUACAUACGGCGCCAAGACUACAGCCUGGUAGAGUCGGGGUACCUUGCGGUCUACGAGACCAACCACGCGCACUAGAAGGACAACAUGGCGAUCGAUUUCGAAGAAGCAGCGUCCAUUACAAGUCUUCACCCACCGCCAGCAACCUGGUCAACAAAUUGCGAGUCCUAUAGUGGCCAAUGUUGACACAUGACCCGUACCUACCGGCCAAGGAAUCGACGUACCGAUGUCGGAAAGCAAAGAUAUAGGAGUGGUGAUAGGGCUCUCCCUUAAGAAGAGGCAGACGCCACGCCCCAUCUUGGAACAACAUUCAAGUUUUCCUCAACAGCAAGCAAUUGUGACAACAUCACGGGCGACACCACAACAACACCAGCAAAUCACAGUCAAACUUAUCAAAGGCGAAUCGACUAUAUACCCCGACAAAUAUCGCAUUGCAGUUUUAGUAACCAUGUUAAACAACAGCAGCACCAGCAACAACAACAGCGAACACCAACAGAGAUCAGUAUCCGAUUCAUACAGCGGAUGCCAACUUGUAGUAAUGUUAAUAUCGUCACUUCUUCGCAACAAUAUAACGAUCAUAACAAUAACAUCACAACAACUACAGCGAAUUCAACCCAUGCUGCCCAUGCAGCAAAGGCAAUAUGAACAGCAAAAUGCUAACAAUAAUUUUAACGGCUGCUCAUCGAUUGGAACAGGCGAUCUGACAUCAGGUAUGCCUCCAGCAAUAGCGAUCGUAGAGAAUGGAACAGCAGGAAACAUGAAAGUCACUAGUAAUGAAAACAAAAUUUUGUUAUGAAACAAAAGUUAGACAAAUUUAUCCAUAUUCACCUAUACCAAGCGGUAUGAAGGGAAAUAUCAACAAUAGUAGUAAUCAAUUGCAAAAGCAAUCUGCCUUGCAUAACCAACCAUCACUGCAAGCGAACUUUAUAAAGCAGGCACUACCUUCACCUGUGCCACCCCACGUUUAGUUUAUGAAAUCACUGACUUGAUAGAAAAGGCCACAAAGUUUCUGAAAGGCAACGGCAACGACGCAAAACGUUAGAUUAUGUGUCUAAUAAUAUGGGCAAUGAAUUGUCUUAUAACGGCUGCGACUAAGUUAGUUGAGGGGGCCGUUGCUCACUACCCGCCUUAACAUUCCAAUAACAUUGGCUGCAAUUCCAACUAUGGUCGUUUUAACCAGUUGCAUUUACAAUCGAAUUUGCGGACAAGUGCAGUUGUUUGAAAAGAUCAAUUGUGCUGUGAAUGCUGCAAGCUGACAAAAAAAAGUCAUCGAAUUUUCGUCAAGCACAACUAAAGAAUGAUGCGGCGAAAUCAUACUAAUACGUCGAAACAGAAACUAAUCUUUAAUUUAAAGCGGUCUAUUAAUAAUGUAGUGGGGAUACUCCAGUAGACUGAUCAAGACUUCUCGCUAUAUGCCGCUGGCUUCACGUUGAUGAAAACUAAACAAUUGUGUUUAAUAGUGAUUGUCGCGCAACAGUCUACUAAAAAUGUCUUCCGGUAUGUACAUCCUCGUCUAAGAAGAAUGAUAAUUUUACCCCGCCAAAAACACGGCACUACGAUGAAAUUUAAAUUAAAAAAAAUUAUAAAAGAUUGACAGGUAAAUAAUUGAUGUUUCGUUCAAUCUGCUAAUUGAGAACAUUUUUUUGUAAUUUUUAAGGUCUAUCACAUUAAAUGAAAUGAAAUUUACAAAACAAAACGACGUUAAUUUCAUUCUUUACGCUAACCUAAAGCACGAUUACUUGUCUCAACCGGGCAUCGUUUGACUAUACUCAAACACCAUAGUUUAUCAUUUCUUAUGUCGUUAAGUAGCUUUGUUCUUCUUCUCUUUGCAUUUCUCGCUCUUACGAGUUUGUUGCUCCACUAACAUGAGACCUAGCCACCAAUUAUUUCUUCAAAUAAUUUCUCACUUAACAUUCGAUUUUCUGCAUAUGCGUAUAAAGGAGAGUGGCACUGUCGACACUUUUGUACCACACCGAUGGUCUUAAGUUUAUUUAAGUUCACAAGUUAUAAAUAUUUUUAAUAAUCAUUUCAAUAGUUGUAUCUUGCGCCUAAAAAAGUACUUCAUAUGAAACUGAGAGUUCUUGCUUACCUACUACUUUUACCUCACUUAAUUCACAUGACGAGCAAACCGGUUGCGAAAAACGGAAGCAGGAAAUAGAAAUAUGCUCCUCCCGUCGUUACCAGUCUGUGUUGCCAAUUAAUCAGAAUCUCAUUCAAAGCUUUUAUCGUAGCUUCGAACCAUAACCAUCCUUGUUUUACAUUAUGCGGUCUACUUUGUGGUUCAUACAAGGAGGCUACUAAACUUAAAAUACAUAAGAGAUUUAAUCUUAAAUUUAAUUUAAGGAAGAAAAUUCGACAAUAUUUAACUUGACUGAUAUCAACUUUCCAUUGGCUUUCCUUCCACAAUGAAAUACUUCGUACGAAAACAAACCUGUUUACUUAAAUAUAUGCUCAGAUAGGCUUGUGUGUUGUAAUGGUUUAAUCAUGCUUGGUACGGCCACCAUGUAAUUAUAUUGGUUAAAUAGACAUUGCCUGGAAGAAGACGCGGGUACUCGCUGUGAUUGUCUCUAGUAUUCAUAAGUGAGCUAGAGUGCGACAUCCUAAAUUAAGAAAUGUGGGAGUAAUGUUGCAUACAAAAAUUAGGAGCAACCUGUUUCUAUUUGAAUUUUAAAAAGCCCAUUCGCAUACACCGACCAUUAGUUUGGUAAUGACGUUACAAAGAUUGUUGUUGUAUUCUGAUUUCUGAUUGGGUUGCGUAGGAACGGCAACACCCACCAAUUUGAUUCCACUUGCCCUUUGCGUCGUCUGAAGUGAUGGUACGCUCGCUCUGUUGCUGGUGGUGUUGACACUUGCUGGGUUUCGUUGCAAGACCUGCAAGAAAAAAUCGUUAGUAGCGU